rnacentral:rRNA from 1 species
CGCCCGCUCAAGAAACUUAAAGGUAAGUUGGACGGGGCCCGCACAAGCGGAGGAGCAUGUGGUUUAAUUCGAUGAUACGCGAGGAACCUUACCUGGGCUCGAACGUAAGAUGACUGUAGGUGAAAGCUUACAUCUCUUCGGAGCAUUUUACGAGGUGCUGCAUGGUUGUCGUCAGCUCGUGCCGUGAGGUGUCGGGUUAAGUCCCAUAACGAGCGCAACCCCUACUGCUAGUUGCCAGCGGGUCAUGCCGGGGACUCUAGCGGAACUGCCAGCGUAAGCUGCGAGGAAGGUGGGGAUGACGUCAAAUCAGCACGGCCCUUACGUCCAGGGCUACACACGUGUUACAAUGGCCGGUACAGAGGGCAGCCACCCCGCGAGGGGGCGCGAAUCCCGAAAGCCGGUCCCAGUUCGGAUCGGAGUCUGCAACCCGACUCCGUGAAGCUGGAUUCGCUAGUAAUCGCGCAUCAGCCACGGCGCGGUGAAUACGUUCCCGGGCCUU